rnacentral:tRNA from 1 species
UGCAGCGUGGGGGAGCAGUACCCCGCGAGCCUCAUGAGCUCGAGACGCUGGUGCGACUCCAGUCGCUGCAC